GACGAACGCUGGCGGCGUGCUUAACACAUGCAAGUCGAACGGAAAGGCCCUGCUUUUGUGGGGUGCUCGAGUGGCGAACGGGUGAGUAACACGUGAGUAACCUGCCCUUGACUUUGGGAUAACUUCAGGAAACUGGGGCUAAUACCGGAUAGGAGCUCCUGCUGCAUGGUGGGGGUUGGAAAGUUUCGGCGGUUGGGGAUGGACUCGCGGCUUAUCAGCUUGUUGGUUGGGUAGUGGCUUACCAAGGCUUUGACUGGUAGCCGGUCUGAGAGGGUGACCGGCACCAUUGGGUUGGAGGAACGGCCCAGACUGGUGCGGGAGGAAACAGUGGGGGAUAUGGGAGAAUGGGCUGAAGACUGAUGCAGCAAGGCCCCGGGUGGGGAGGGGGGCUUGGGGUUGGAAACCGCCUUCGCCUGUGAUGAGUCGUUAGGUGCGGUUGAGGGUGAAGAAGCACCGGCUAACUACGUG
rnacentral:rRNA from 1 species